rnacentral:rRNA from 1 species
GUGGGGAAUUUUGGACAAUGGGCGCAAGCCUGAUCCAGCCAUUCCGCGUGCAGGAUGAAGGCCUUCGGGUUGUAAACUGCUUUUGUACGGAACGAAACGGUUCUGGUUAAUACCCGGGGCUAAUGACGGUACCGUAAGAAUAAGCACCGGCUAACUACGUGCCAGCAGCCGCGGUAAUACGUAGGGUGCAAGCGUUAAUCGGAAUUACUGGGCGUAAAGCGUGCGCAGGCGGUUGUGUAAGACAGGCGUGAAAUCCCCGGGCUCAACCUGGGAAUUGCGCUUGUGACUGCACGGCUGGAGUGCGGCAGAGGGGGAUGGAAUUCCGCGUGUAGCAGUGAAAUGCGUAGAUAUGCGGAGGAACACCGAUGGCGAAGGCAAUCCCCUGGGCCUGCACUGACGCUCAUGCACGAAAGCGUGGGGAGCAAACAGGAUUAGAAACCCUGGUAGUCC